rnacentral:rRNA from 1 species
AAGUCGUAACAAGGUUUCCGUAGGUGAACCUGCGGAAGGAUCAUUAAAGAGUUUAAGCCCUAUAUGGGUAGAUCUCCUAUCCUUGAAUAUAUUAUUUUGUUGCUUUAGUGGGUCGUAUUUCUAUAUAUACCACUGGCAUUUGCUAGUGAGUACCUACUAGAGAAUUCUAAAUUCUGAAUUAUUUAUUAUCUUGUAAUUAUAUAAUUAUUAAAACUUUCAACAACGGAUCUCUUGGUUCUGGCAUCGAUGAAGAACGCAGCGAAAUGCGAUAAGUAAUGUGAAUUGCAGAAUUUAGUGAAUCAUCGAAUCUUUGAACGCACAUUGCGCCUUUUAGUAUUCUAAAGGGCAGGCCUGUUCGAGCGUCAUUAGUAAUAUUCAAGCUUUGCUUGAUAUUGGGUUAUACUAGCAAUAGCUAAUCCUAAAACUAGUGGUAUUGUUAUUAAAUCUCAAGUAUAGUAAAUUUCUUGUUUCGAGAUUUUGUAGUUGAAUACUAUUAAUUUCAAAUCUUUUAAGAUUGACCUCGAAUCAGGUAGGAAUACCCGCUGAACUUAAGCAUAUCAAUAAGCGGAGGAAAAGAAACCAAUAGGGAUUGCCUCAGUAACGGCGAGUGAAGUGGCAAUAGCUCAAAUUUGAAAUCUGGCUCUUUUAGAGUCUGAAUUGUAAUUUGUAGAAGAUACUUCGGGUAUGGUGUUAAUUUAAGUUCCUUGGAAUAGGAUAUCGUAGAGGGUGAGAAUCCCGUAUGUAAUUAUACAUCUAUGCCUCUAUGAAGUUCUUUCAAUGAGUCGAGUUGUUUGGGAAUGCAGCUCAAAAUGGGUGGUAUAUUUCAUCUAAAGCUAAAUAUUGGCCAGAAACCGAUAGCGCACAAGUAGAGUGAUCGAAAGAUGAAAAGCACUUUGGAAAGAGAGUUAAACAGUACGUGAAAUUGUUGAAAGGGAAGCGCUUGCAACCAGAUUUGCGUUUGGUUAAUCAUCCGGGGUUUUCCUCGGUGCACUUGAUUAUACUCAGGCCAGCAUCAGUUUUAGUAGUUGGAUAAAGAUUAUGAGAAUGUAGCUCCUCUUGAGGAGUGUUAUAGCUCAAGGUGCCAUGCAACUAAUUGAGACUGAGGAUCGCGCUUUAGCUAGGAUGCUGGCAUAAUGGUUGUAAGCGACC